UUGUUUCAUCUGCUCAACUUUCUCACCCCCGAGAGGUUCCACAAUUUGGAAGGUUUUUUGGAGGAGUUUGCUGACAUUGCCAAGGAGGACCAGAUAAAAAAACUGCAUGACAUGCUGGGGCCGCACAUGUUGCGGCGGCUCAAAGCCGAUGUGUUCAAGAACAUGCCCUCCAAGACAGAACUAAUUGUGCGUGUGGAGCUGAGCCCUAUGCAGAAGAAAUACUACAAGUACAUCCUCACUCGAAAUUUUGAAGCACUCAAUGCCCGAGGUGGUGGCAACCAGGUGUCUCUGCUGAAUGUGGUGAUGGAUCUUAAGAAGUGCUGCAACCAUCCAUACCUCUUCCCUGUGGCUGCAAUGGUAUGUAGUGCCAUCUCCUGUUCCUCCCUGGGUUGGGUCUUCUCCAUGUGGGCUUUCUUUUAAUACUUUUUUCUUUGCAUUUGUUCUCAGGAAGCCCCUAAGAUGCCUAAUGGCAUGUAUGAUGGCAGUGCCCUAAUCAGAGCAUCUGGGAAAU
rnacentral:sRNA from 1 species